ensembl:ncRNA T06H11.19 ncRNA
CUAGUUAGUUUUACAUGUGUGUCGUUCGUCUGUGAAACUAAAUUAUAUUUGCGUUUCUUCCACUU